GGGUGAUUAGCUCAGGUGGUAGAGCAGCUGACUCUUAAUCAGCGGGUCGUAGGUUCGAGCCCUACAUCACCCACCA
rnacentral:tRNA from 3 species